UAACCUCCUGCUAGCUGACCGUCAGAAUGCCUAGGCGUUAGCUGACCGUCAGAAUGCCUAGGUGUUCUAACCUCCUGCAGCUAGCUGACCGUCAGAAUGCCUAGGUGUUCUAACCUCCUGCAGCUAGCUGACCGUCAGAAUGCCUAGGUGUUCUAACCUCCUGCAGCUAGCUGACCGUCAGAAUACCUAGGUGUUCUAACCUCCUGCAGCUAGCUGACCGUCAGAAUGCCUAGGUGUUCUAACCUCCUGCAGCUAGCUGACCGUCAGAAUGCCUAGGUGUACUAACCUCCUGCAGUUAGCUGACCGUCAGAAUGCCUAGGUGUUCUAACCUCCUGCAGCUAGCUGACCGUCAGAAUACCUAGGUGUUCUAACCUCCUGCAGCUAGCUGACCGUCAGAAUACCUAGGUGUUCUAACCUCCUGCAGCUAGCUGACCGUCAGAAUGCCUAGGUGUUCUAACCUCCUGCAGCUAGCUGACCGUCAGAAUGCCUAGGUGUUCUAACCUCCUGCAGCUAGCUGACCGUCAGAAUACCUAGGUGUUCUAACCUCCUGCAGCUAGCUGACCGUCAGAAUGCCUAGGGGUUCUGUCCAAAUCCUUCACACCAACCAACCCAGAUAAAAGGGAUGUCUUGAAAAUAUUGUCUGAAUUGAAGUGGGUUUUGUUUGUAUAAUUUACAGGAGAACAGCCGGAUCAAAGUCCAAAUACAUUACCAGUGUUUAGUAUUCCAGGGUUUUAGGGCCCAUCCAUGUGUUACAGCUGCUUUAAUUCAGUCCCAAAUCAAACCCUAACCCCUAGACUACACUCCCUACUUGUGAAGAAAGUAUAGGGCUAAGCAAUAUGGUGGGGCUACUACCAUGUUGCUAUAUCUAUCCAAUACAUUGUGUUUCCCCUAGAUGGGGGUCGUUAGCGCAAUGACUAGAAGUCUAUGGGAAUGAAUAUAGGGGAAACACUGCAUGACUAGAAGUCUAUGGGAAUGAAUAUAGGGGAAACACUGCAUGACUAGAAGUCUAUGGGAAUGAAUAUAGGGGAAACACUGCAUGACUAGAAGUCUAUGGGAAUGAAUAUAGGGGGAAAUACUGCAUGACUAGAAGUCUAUGGGAAUGAAUAUAGGGGGAAACACUGCAUGACUAGAAGUCUAUGGGAAUGAAUAUAGGGGGAAACACUGCAUGACUAGAAGUCUAUGGGAAUGAAUAUAGGGGAAACACUGCAUGACUAGAAGUCUAUGGGAAUGAAUAUAGGGGAAACACUGCAUGACUAGAAGUCUAUGGGAAUGAAUAUAGGGGAAACACUGCAUGACUAGAAGUCUAUGGGAAUGAAUAUAGGGGAAACACUGCAUGACUAGAAGUCUAUGGGAAUGAAUAUAGGGGGAAACACUGCAUGACUAGAAGUCUAUGGGAAUGAAUAUAGGGGGAAACACUGAAUGACUAGAAGUCUAUGGGAAUGAAUAUAGGGGGAAUACUGCAUUCUGAUCUAGACAAGUAGGGACUAGGGGUUGAUUUAGGAUUGGGUGCAUGUAUCUCUCUGUGCGUCAUCUGUUGUAUAGUACUAACUAACUAGGACCUCCCUGUUGUAUAGUACUAACUAACUAGGACCUCCCUGUUGUAUAGUACUAACUAACUAGGACCUCCCUGUUGUAUAGUACUAACUAACUAGGACCUCCCUGUUGUAUAGUACUAACUAACUAGGACCUCCCUGUUGUAUAGUACUAACUAACUAGGACCUCCCUGUUGUAUAGUACUAACUAACUUGAACCUCCCUGUUGUAUAGUACUAACUAACUUGGUUGGACUUGUAUAGUACUAACUAACUUGGUUGGACCUCCCUGUUGUAUAGUACUAACUUGGUUGGACUUGUAUAGUACUAACUAGGACCUCGUUAUGAAUCAAUGGAUCAGCUUGUGUUGUUUUAGUCUGAAACACUUCUCUUGUUACUGAAUACUAACGUUCCUCCUUUCCACACACCCUUUUCACACUAUAAUAGCGACCAAAAGAUAUUUUAAAUUUUAAUUUAUGGUUUAUUUGGGUAGGGACCGAUACAAACGCAUCGUCUUCUCCUACACGGUUCCAGCAUCUACGGUUAAUGAGUAACCAGGCCAGCUUGGUUUGCUCAGCAGUGUGAAAAAGGUAUUGGAAACUAAAUUUGUCAAGCAGAUUGGUUUACCACAGUAGGACAUACUGUUAUUUUGUGUAGACUACACUACUCAGCAGUAGUAUGAGACAUGAAACACAGUGACUCUUCAGUGAAAUUAACUUGUAAGGUUUCUGACUCUAUAUUCCUUGGAAUGCCGCUUUUAUGUCAAGUGUAAAGGAAAACGGACAUUCCCAGCUUUUGAAAAGUAAACGUUCUCCUCAACAAUAAGCUGUUAUUCGUCAUUGUAUCAGUUCAUUUUAAUGUGUUGUUUUGCUAAUGAUUUUAUUUAUUCAAUUGUUUAAUUUUUGCACUUGUUACUUUGCCUUUUGAUGAUUCCCUGUGAAGUGAAGAUCCCAUUCCAAUGUCGAACAAAAAUCAUUAUUACUGCAAGUGUUUUAAAAACUGUUUAGAGAUGCGUACAAUGUAUAUGUUGUGGACCAUAUGAUCUAUUAUCUGUGCAAUAAAGAGGUGUUAUACUGGA